rfam:Picea glauca, whole genome shotgun sequence.
AUGUACAUGCAUACAACAUUGAAUUAAUGCACUAGAUCCCAUUAUAACUCUGCAAUUAAGCAUGCUCAGGCUAAAGUAGUACUGGGAUGGGUGAGAACCUGGGAAGUCCUAGUGUUUUACAUU